rnacentral:rRNA from 1 species
AUAAUCAUGGAGUAUAAUAAUUAAAUUUAAUAAAUUUAAUAUAACUAUUAAUAGAAUUAGGUUACUAAUAAAUUAAUAACAAUUAAUUUUAAAACCUAAGGGUAAACCUUUAUAUUAAUAAUGUUAUUUUUUAUUAUAUUUAUAAUAAGAAUAAUUAUUAAUAAUAAUAAACUAAGUGAACUGAAACAUCUAAGUAACUUAAGGAUAAGAAAUCAACAGAGAUAUUAUGAGUAUUGGUGAGAGAAAAUAAUAAAGGUCUAAUAAGUAUUAUGUGAAAAAAAUGUAAGAAAAUAGGAUAACAAAUUCUAAGACUAAAUACUAUUAAUAAGUAUAGUAAGUACCGUAAGGGAAAGUAUGAAAAUGAUUAUUUUAUAAGCAAUCAUGAAUAUAUUAUAUUAUAUUAAUGAUGUACCUUUUGUAUAAUGGGUCAGCAAGUAAUUAAUAUUAGUAAAACAAUAAGUUAUAAAUAAAUAGAAUAAUAUAUAUAUAUAUAAAAAUAUAUUAAAAUAUUUAAUUAAUAUUAAUUGACCCGAAAGCAAACGAUCUAACUAUGAUAAGAUGGAUAAACGAUCGAACAGGUUGAUGUUGCAAUAUCAUCUGAUUAAUUGUGGUUAGUAGUGAAAGACAAAUCUGGUUUGCAGAUAGCUGGUUUUCUAUGAAAUAUAUGUAAGUAUAGCCUUUAUAAAUAAUAAUUAUUAUAUAAUAUUAUAUUAAUAUUAUAUAAAGAAUGGUACAGCAAUUAAUAUAUAUUAGGGAACUAUUAAAGUUUUAUUAAUAAUAUUAAAUCUCGAAAUAUUUAAUUAUAUAUAAUAAAGAGUCAGAUUAUGUGCGAUAAGGUAAAUAAUCUAAAGGGAAACAGCCCAGAUUAAGAUAUAAAGUUCCUAAUAAAUAAUAAGUGAAAUAAAUAUUAAAAUAUUAUAAUAUAAUCAGUUAAUGGGUUUGACAAUAACCAUUUUUUAAUGAACAUGUAACAAUGCACUGAUUUAUAAUAAAUAAAAAAAAAUAAUAUUUAAAAUCAAAUAUAUAUAUAUUUGUUAAUAGAUAAUAUACGGAUCUUAAUAAUAAGAAUUAUUUAAUUCCUAAUAUGGAAUAUUAUAUUUUUAUAAUAAAAAUAUAAAUACUGAAUAUCUAAAUAUUAUUAUUACUUUUUUUUUAAUAAUAAUAAUAUGGUAAUAGAACAUUUAAUGAUAAUAUAUAUUAGUUAUUAAUUAAUAUAUGUAUUAAUUAAAUAGAGAAUGCUGACAUGAGUAACGAAAAAAAGGUAUAAACCUUUUCACCUAAAACAUAAGGUUUAACUAUAAAAGUACGGCCCCUAAUUAAAUUAAUAAGAAUAUAAAUAUAUUUAAGAUGGGAUAAUCUAUAUUAAUAAAAAUUUAUCUUAAAAUAUAUAUAUUAUUAAUAAUUAUAUUAAUAAUAUAUAUAAUUAUAUUAUAUAUUUUUUUUUAUAUAAUAUAAACUAAUAAAGAUCAGGAAAUAAUUAAUGUAUACCGUAAUGUAGACCGACUCAGGUAUGUAAGUAGAGAAUAUGAAGGUGAAUUAGAUAAUUAAAGGGAAGGAACUCGGCAAAGAUAGCUCAUAAGUUAGUCAAUAAAGAGUAAUAAGAACAAAGUUGUACAACUGUUUACUAAAAACACCGCACUUUGCAGAAACGAUAAGUUUAAGUAUAAGGUGUGAACUCUGCUCCAUGCUUAAUAUAUAAAUAAAAUUAUUUAACGAUAAUUUAAUUAAAUUUAGGUAAAUAGCAGCCUUAUUAUGAGGGUUAUAAUGUAGCGAAAUUCCUUGGCCUAUAAUUGAGGUCCCGCAUGAAUGACGUAAUGAUACAACAACUGUCUCCCCUUUAAGCUAAGUGAAAUUGAAAUCGUAGUGAAGAUGCUAUGUACCUUCAGCAAGACGGAAAGACCCUAUGCAGCUUUACUGUAAUUAGAUAGAUCGAAUUAUUGUUUAUUAUAUUCAGCAUAUUAAGUAAUCCUAUUAUUAGGUAAUCGUUUAGAUAUUAAUGAGAUACUUAUUAUAAUAUAAUGAUAAUUCUAAUCUUAUAAAUAAUUAUUAUUAUUAUUAUUAAUAAUAAUAAUAAUAUGCUUUCAAGCAUAGUGAUAAAACAUAUUUAUAUGAUAAUCACUUUACUUAAUAGAUAUAAUUCUUAAGUAAUAUAUAAUAUAUAUUAUAUAUAUAUUAUAUAUAAUAUAAGAGACAAUCUCUAAUUGGUAGUUUUGAUGGGGCGUCAUUAUCAGCAAAAGUAUCUGAAUAAGUCCAUAAAUAAAUAUAUAAAAUUAUUGAAUAAAAAAAAUAAUAUAUAUUAUAUAUAUUAAUUAUAAAUUGAAAUAUGUUUAUAUAAAUUUAUAUUUAUUGAAUAUAUUUUAGUAAUAGAUAAAAAUAUGUACAGUAAAAUUGUAAGGAAAACAAUAAUAACUUUCUCCUCUCUCGGUGGGGGUUCACACCUAUUUUUAAUAGGUGUUCACCCCUCUUCGGGGUUCCGGUUCCCUUUCGGGUCCCGGAACUUAAAUAAUUAUGGAAAGAAUUAAAUUAAUAUAAUGGUAUAACUGUGCGAUAAUUGUAACACAAACGAGUGAAACAAGUACGUAAGUAUGGCAUAAUGAACAAAUAACACUGAUUGUAAAGGUUAUUGAUAACGAAUAAAAGUUACGCUAGGGAUAACAGGGUAAUAUAACGAAAGAGUAGAUAUUGUAAGUUAUGUUUGCCACCUCGAUGUCGACUCAACAUUUCCUCUUGGUUGUAAAAGCUAAGAAGGGUUUGACUGUUCGUCAAUUAAAAUGUUACGUGAGUUGGGUUAAAUACGAUGUGAAUCAGUAUGGUUCCUAUCUGCUGAAGGAAAUAUUAUCAAAUUAAAUCUCAUUAUUAGUACGCAAGGACCAUAAUGAAUCAACCCAUGGUGUAUCUAUUGAUAAUAAUAUAAUAUAUUUAAUAAAAAUAAUACUUUAUUAAUAUAUUAUCUAUAUUAGUUUAUAUUUUAAUUAUAUAUUAUCAUAGUAGAUAAGCUAAGUUGAUAAUAAAUAAAUAUUGAAUACAUAUUAAAUAUGAAGUUGUUUUAAUAAGAUAAUUAAUCUGAUAAUUUUAUACUAAAAUUAAUAAUUAUAGGUUUUAUAUAUUAUUUAUAAAUAAAUAUAUUAUAAUAAUAAUAAUUAUUAUUAUUAAUAAAAAAUAU